AUUCUUUCCCUCCCCUCUUUGGGGAAAAACCCCAUUCCCUCCCACGUCCGUCCCUUUCUCUCUCACUCUCGAUCUCCCGCGCCUCUUCUCUCUCUCUCUCUCUCUCUCUCUCUCUCUCUCUCUCUCUCUCUCUCUUCCAGCCCCAUUUCAACCAUAUCUCCCUGUCUCUCUCCCGCAUUUUUCUAGGGUUCCAUUUUCAAAACCCUGAUUGCCCAAUUCCAGCUCUCUCGUUUCUCCCACUCCAUUCCAUAUCUAGGGUUUCUUUUAGAAAUGACAUUCAACUAACAGUCCAUGGAAUCGCAUCGGUAGCCGUCCCACGAAAGAUGACAGAAAAAGAAGAGCACUGCAGUGCCAACGGCGCUAGUUUCCGCAUCCUGUAGCCCAAUCGCGACCCUAAAUUGAUCUGGGUCGUUGAUCUCGCCAAGAACCUUGAUGACUAUCUUCUCAAGAUCUGUUUCAGAGAAAUCACGGCUGAAGAUGAAGGCGGCCACCCCUCCGCGAAUUUUGCCGAAGCUGCUCUGCUUAUUCAAGGUUCGAUUCAGGUGUAUAGUCGGAAAGUGGAAUAUCUAUAUUCUUUAGUUUUGCAUGCGUUGGAGUUCAUUUCUCAGAAGACAUUGGAUGGCUAAAAAAACAUCAUGGUGGUAGUCGGAAGUUAAUUUCCGAAGUAACUGAAGUUUGGAGCUCAUCUCUUUGUACCAAUGAUAGGGAAGUUAAUUUCAGUUUCCAUUAUUUCCACUCUAUUGAACUUUAGUUGUUAAAAUUUCAAAAAUUGUGGUUUUGAAUUUAAUUAGGGUGUCGGAAGGAAAAGACAAUCAGCAAUAAAACUGCAUCUAAAGAAGUCUACCUCCCAUGAAGAAAGAGAACAACAUGGUUCAUUUCUUGUUCUUUAGACCAUGAUUCAUUUUUGCAUCAUUUUGCAAAUGCUACAAUUUCAAAUCCCAUUUUUGCAUAAAAAAUCAGGAAAAAAAAUCUUCUUAAUUAGUUGAAAAUUUUCCCAUGUAUGGAAGCAUUCACAGUUAGAUAGCAAUUCCUUAAAGUGUAUAGAGUAGACCUUUCAUUAUUUCAAGUUGACUGGAAAAACAU